GUUUUAAUAGUUUAAUGAAUAAAAUAAUGAUCUUGUAAAUCAUAGAUAGGGUUACCUUUAAAACU
rnacentral:tRNA from 1 species